rnacentral:lncRNA from 1 species
GAUGGAUACGGACCAGGGGCUAGGGCUCCUUGAGUUGGAUAUGAAGUGCAUCACCGAUGAGGGAAGACGGGAAGGGAUUUUAAUCUGCUGAUAGACAUGGACAAGGGGCAGCAGACGGCCUCUGAGCAAGAAGAAUUCGUGGUCCUCUCGGGGCUCAAAUGGCUAAAUCUAUUUGGGAUCGGUCUUAAUCGGACUAAAAUUCAAGCUUGAGCUCGGGUCUGGCCCAAGCCAAAAAUAUGUUCGAGCCCAUUCCAAAAAAAAAACGGGCUCUAUAUUUAGACCAAAGCAUGGUUUGAAUUAUCUUGAGCUAAGCUCAAAAUUCGAUCCGAAGUCGAUCCGGCCCGAUAGACUUUGGAUCAGCCCGAGCCUACUUCUAGCCC